AGUUAAAAAGCUCGUAGUUGGAUUUCUGGCAGGGGGCAACAGCCCGCUUGCAGCGUGUGCUUGCCGUCCCCUACCAUCCUUCUGUUAACGCGCCAGGACAUUCACUUGUCGGGCGCGGGCUCAGAUAAUUUACCUUGAGAAAAUUAGAGUGUUUCAGGCAGGCUGACGCCGGGAUACAUUAGCAUGGAAUAAUGGAAUAGGACUUUCGCCUCUUCUGUUGGUCUGAGGGGUGAUCCUAAUGAUUAAUAGGGAUAGUUGGGGGCAUUAGUACUUAACUGUCAGAGGUGAAAUUCUCGGAUUUGUUAAAGACUAACUUAUGCGAAAGCAUUUGCCAAGGAUGUUUUCAUUAAUCAAGAACGAAAGUUAGGGGAUCAAAGACGAUCAGAUACCGUCCUAGUCUUAACCAUAAACUAUGCCGACUCGGGAUCGGGGGCGAGAGUUAUCCGCCUUCGGCACCGUAUGAGAAAUCGAAGUCUUUGGGUUCUGGGGGGA
rnacentral:rRNA from 1 species